UACGGAGGGUGCAAGCGUUAUCCGGAUUCACUGGGUUUAAAGGGUGCGUAGGAGGGCAGGUAAGUCAGUGGUGAAAUCUCCGGGCUUAACCCGGAAACUGCCAUUGAUACUAUAGGUCUUGAAUUUUCUGGAGGUCAGCGGAAUAUGUCAUGUAGCGGUGAAAUGCUUAGAUAUGACAUAGAACACCGAUUGCGAAGGCAGCUGACUACAGGAACAUUGACACUGAGGCACGAAAGCGUGGGGAUCAAACAGG
rnacentral:rRNA from 1 species